GUGCUUAGCACAGCACAGAAAUUAAAAUUGAAAUGAUACAGAGAAGAUUAGCGUGGCCUCUGCAUAAGGAGGACAUGCGAAUUUGUGAAGCAUUCCAUAUAAAA